rnacentral:rRNA from 1 species
GACGUAGGGCGCGAGCGUUGUCCGGAUUUAUUGGGCGUAAAGAGCUCGUAGGCGGCUUGUCGCGUCGUCCGUGAAAACCUGGGGCUCAACCCCAGGCUUGCGGUCGAUACGGGCAGGCUCGAGUUCGGUAGGGGAGACUGGAAUUCCUGGUGUAGCGGUGAAAUGCGCAGAUAUCAGGAGGAACACCUGUGGCGAAGGCGGCUUUCUGGGCCUUACCUGACGCUGAGACGCGAAAGCGUGGGGAGCGAACCGG